CGAUGAUAUGCUAGCUUUUCUCAUGCCUCUGGAUUUAUUGAGGAUUCUCUGGGAUCCUCCCCAUCAGCAUCUAGACAUUCUCAAGACCCUCCCAAUGUCAAGAAAGUCUGUCUCUCGUUCCUCUCCAGCCCUCUCCAACUGCUAGCCUCUCCAGUCCCUGCCACAGUCCACUUUCUUUAGAUGUGGAUCUUUAGAUCUCUCUUUGUAUCUCAAGAUGGGACUCUCCCCUCUGUGCCGUCCCGUCGUCAAGCACGUCACCCUGGCUUCCCUGCCCCCUUCUUCCAUCAGAACCCAGGUCUUAACCAGCGGCUUGGUGUCCAGCCACGUCAUUUCAGGGGGUGCCCUCGGGCCGGGAAGGAUGUGCUGCCGUGUGCCAGAGCCCCCUGCUAGAGAUCAACAGGACCAGUGCAGCCCUUCCUUAUUAGAGUUUUCCAGUGCCCUUGCCCGGCGGCAGGGCAGAGAUGAGAUUCUGCAGGGAGAGAGGAGAAGAGCGCCGGAGACAAAGACCCUUCAGAAAACGUAGCAGAUAUCCUGUGAAGCCUUUGAAAAGGUGAACAAGGUUUCCUCCUCGUCCUCCACGCCCCACUGGGCUUUGUGUGUGCACACGGCGGCAUCCGGCGCCGGAAGGCCACCUGCGCCCAGGUGACCUGGCUUCAGCGUCCUCCAGCCCAGCCCGUUCUCUGGACAGCAGCCAAGAGAAGCUUUCUGAGACAUCGCUGAAAUCCCCGCACCCCUCCCAGUUCAGAAGCCUGCGGAGGCUCCCAUUUGCGUUUACGGUAAAGUCUUCCCUCCUUCCUGGCCUCGCUCCUUGCCUGGCUCUCCAGUCUUCUUGUCCCCUGCCUCUUGAAUCCCUCGGGUAGGUCUUAUUGGCCUUGUUCAUAUUUCCAGGACGCCCCACGCUUGCCCGUGGGGGGGCCCUCUGCCUCCAGUGCUCCUGCCCUGUGUUCCACAGGCUGGUUCCUGCUCCCGGCGGGCUCCCUGCCAGCCGCUGUCUCAGGGGCUGUGAGUGUCCCUUUUAGUCCUUUAAAAAAAUUUUUUUUUAAAGAGUUUAUUUGAGCAAAAAUCAGUUUGAAUUGGGCCAAACCAAAGAGUGAUGAAGAGGGGUCCCCCAUUUUAUUCUUUCUCCUGGUCUUGUUUCCUCUUCAGCACUCCUCAGAACCUGCGAUUUUUAUUUUUUAGAGAUUUUAUUUAUUGAUUUGAGACAGCGAG
rnacentral:lncRNA from 1 species